AUUAGGGGCGGGGUCUUACCACGGGGGCACACCUGUUUUCGAUUCUUGCUGAAUUCAAGCUGGGUGCGGGAUCGCGAGAGAGGUUCCAGUACGCCGGUCGGCAGCUUCACUCCCGAGGGUGCCGCGAGCCCAGGCGGCGAACACCCGGUACCCCUGGCGCAGCGAGGUGGGAUGCUGUACGGACAGCAGCGCUAAGUGCCCCCCCACCCCCGGCGCAGGGUGCACUCGCUCCUGGCCGCGGGCCCAGCGGCGGCGGCGGCGGCGGCGGCGGAGGGGAUGAGCCCGGGACGCGCGAGGCGCCUGCCUCAAGCUACCGCCCGGAGAGGGACGCCGAGUAGGGCUCAUCGCAGUACCGCGCGGACCCCUGCCCCCUGUGGCACGCGGCUGCGGAGCCUUGAAGCCGUGUCUGUGAUCAGGAUGCACUGGGCGCCUCGCAGCUGGUGAGGAUGCCCUGCUGCGCGGCCCUGCGCCCCCAGCCCCAGUCCCAGGUGGGCAAGACUGACUGGGCCCGGCUUCGGCCCCUCGUGCCGGUGGAUGAAACGUGCCGGAGUGCUUGGGUGCCAUCAGCUAUCAAAUCUGAAU
rnacentral:lncRNA from 1 species